rnacentral:tRNA from 1 species
GUUCCUGUAGUUAAAUUUCUAUAACAGUAGCUUUUCAGGCUACGGAUCUCGGAGAGAGGCCGGGCGGGAAUU